UACGUAGGGUGCAAGCGUUGUCCGGAAUUAUUGGGCGUAAAGAGCUCGUAGGCGGUUCUGUCGCGUCGGCUGUGAAAACCCGGGGCUCAACCCCGGGCCUGCAGUCGAUACGGGCAGACUAGAGUGCGGUAGGGGAGUACUGGAAUUCCUGGUGUAGCGGUGAAAUGCGCAGAUAUCAGGAGGAACACCGGUGGCGAAAGGCGGGUCUCUGGGCCGUAACUGACGCUGAGGAGCGAAAGCGUGGGGAGCGAACAGG
rnacentral:rRNA from 1 species